rnacentral:tRNA from 2 species
GGGGAUAUGGCGAAAUUGGUAGACGCUACGGACUUGGAAAAUCCGUCGACUUUAUAAAUCGUGAGGGUUCAAGUCCCUCUAUCCCCA